rnacentral:tRNA from 1 species
GCCACGGAGGUCUAGCGGUCAGAACGCUGGCUUUGUAAUCCUGGGGUCUCGGGUUCGAUUCCCGGCGGUGCCC